UUAGUGAACUCGGAGACACCA
rnacentral:misc_RNA from 1 species